AGCCAGACUGCGGCAUUUGUGCCCAGCCAGACUGCGGCAUUUGGCGGCCUGUGCGGGGAACUUCUGAAGCUUAGAGGUAAGUGAAAUUUCUCACCCUUGAGGAAGAGAGAAAGAAUGGGUGACCAAUUCAAAAAACAAUGUGUUCUCGUUUUGAUUUAUUUUGUUUUUAUUUCAAGUUGCCUGUUCCUAGAACUUUCUCAGGCAAACUGGGGAAAAUGGUUGACUCAAGGUUUGAAGUUGUUCGCCUCCGAGCAAGAGAAAUUGUUAGAGGAAGGAGGCACCCCAGUGAGACCAAGAACAAUUAGGGCAUAUGUUGAUACAAUACAAAAAUGUAGCCCAUGGCUUUUUAAAGACGAGUUAUUAAGUAUAUCAAUGGGACCAUCAUGGUAUCCUGUAGAAGGAUUUUUCUUCAACAAGAAAGAGAUGGCUAGUUCUGUUUACUACAUUUGUCUAAGAUCUUGGUUUUUACAGACAUCUGAUUAAUUUACAAAGCUAAAGUGUUAAAAUAUCAACCACUAAAUAUGAAAUCAAGUACUCUUUACUUAUUAAGUUCCAUAAGGUAAUAUAUUUAAACAUUAUGUGUGUUUUCAUAAAUUGGUAAAUGGAAAAAUGUUUAAUAUUGCUUUGUGUCUGUGUCUUUGCUAAAACAAGGUUACUAAGUGUUAAGAUUCUAUCAUGUGUAAUUUAUAUACAAAGAGUAGAAAAAUUUUCAGUUGGGUUUCAAUUAUAGUAUUAUAGUAUCAUAAAAAACAUGAAAGUCUUUCAUCUUAUUAAAGUGGAGUAAUUUGUCUAAAUCAGAAAUUUUAUAAGAGUUGUUUCAAAAUGUGAAUUUAUAAAAAGGGUUAACGGUUAAAAAAGAGAUAGAAAAAGAUUCAAGAUGUGGAAAUAUAUUUUAAUAUAAAAGGUUAAAGGAAAAAGAAAUGUUUCUAGAUGAUAUAAUCUCUGUGUGGUAAAGUAAAAAGUUGUAAAAUGCCAUUUAAAAAGAUUUUGAGGAAACUAGACUUACUUUAAAAGCUUGAGAAAGGAAGAAAGAAGAAAAAGGUAUUUGUACAUGGCAGAUUGAGACAAAGCUUCUCAAUGGAGUUAAAAAAAAAAAAAGCCUUUGGUUGAAGGGCAGCCAUGU
rnacentral:lncRNA from 1 species